GACGAACGCUGGCGGCGUGCCUAAUACAUGCAAGUCGAACGAGAGCGACCGGUGCUUGCACUGGUCAAUCUAGUGGCGAACGGGUGAGUAACACGUGGGUAACCUGCCCAUCAGAGGGGGAUAACAUCCGGAAACGGAUGCUAAAACCGCAUAGGUCUUCGAGCCGCAUGGCUUGAAGAGGAAAAGAGGCGCAAGCUUCUGCUGAUGGAUGGGCCCGCGGUGCAUUAGCUAGUUGGUGAGGUAACGGCUCACCAAGGCCGUGAUGCAUAGCCGACCUGAGAGGGUGAUCGGCCACAUUGGGACUGAGACACGGCCCAAACUCCUACGGGAGGCAGCAGUAGGGAAUCUUCCGCAAUGGACGCAAGUCUACGGAGCAAC
rnacentral:rRNA from 1 species